UCGGGAAUUUUGGGCAAUGGGGGAAACCCUGACCCAGCAACGCCGCGUGAAGGAUGAAGUAUUUCGGUAUGUAAACUUCGAAAGAAUAGGAAGAAUAAAUGACGGUACUAUUUAUAAGGUCCGGCUAACUACGUGCCAGCAGCCGCGGUAAUACGUAGGGACCAAGCGUUGUUCGGAUUUACUGGGCGUAAAGGGCGCGUAGGCGGCAUGACAAGUCACUUGUGAAAUCUCUGGGCUUAACCCAGAACGGCCAAGUGAUACUGUCGCGCUAGAGUGCAGAAGGGGCAAUCGGAAUUCUUGGUGUAGCGAUGAAAUGCGUAGAUAUCAGGAAGAACACCUGUGGCGAAGGCGGCUAGCUGGGGCCAGUUCUGACGCUCAUCCGCGAAAGUGUGGGGAGCAAACAGGAUUAGAUACCCCUGUAGUCCCUGAGCGGGCUGGCAAGGCGCAU
rnacentral:rRNA from 1 species